rnacentral:misc_RNA from 1 species
UCAUUUUAGCUCCGUCUGCAAUUCGUGACUGACCGAAAAACGAGUCGCAUUGGAGCAACUACACCUAAAAACAAAGCUUACGCACACAAUUCUGUGGGAGCUGUGACGUUGGCGUUCUGCGGUUGAGCAGUGCUAUCUGUGGUAGAAGCGGUGUUUCAUGUUUGGAAGCGUGGUCACUGCAUUGGUUUGUUUUUGUAGCAAUGACUGAAAGCAUGGCUUUGUUUUUGUAACAUUUGUGGCGGAAAUCUUGUUCUCACUGUCAUAUGCGAUUCGGAUUGUUAUUGAGCAUCUGUUCAAAAUGCCAUGCAAGUGCUGUAUGCCCUAUUGUAGGGGAAACUACGACAACGGUUUAAAAGUUAGCGUCUUUUCAUUCCCGUCUGAUGAAGCAUUAAGAUUGAAACGGAUCGCUGCAGUUCAUAGGAAUGAUUGGGAACCCAGUAAACAGUUCGUUAUAUGUGAACUGCAUUUCACUGUAGACGACAUUGAGAAAAUUACCAGUGCUUACGACCCAAAACUGGCAAACUCUUUACAGUUUACAGCACCUUUGGACCGUCCACGUUUAAAGAAACGUUCGUGAAAAUUUAUCGUAAAGGGUACUUGUAAUCAGUUUACAGAUUAAAGUACAGAUGCUGUACCAUCAAAGUUGCCAGGAAGACCUACGUAUUUAUCUUCAAAACAAGCACCAGCUCGAGAAGAUCCAGAGGGUCGCGAACGUUUGGGGAACCAAGCACUUGAGAAAGUCAUGGAGCAGAGUGUGGAAUCACACAAAAAAAUGAUGGAGAAGAGUUCAUUUGCUAGUUUAGAAGAUUUUAAAUCAAAAUUAUCUGAUUGUGAAAAGCACAGUGACUGGGUCACGGAAACCAAAUCAAAUAAUUUGUGUCUUGUGUUAAAGGAUGCUCCUUAUCUAAGUGUUGUGUGUCAUGUCGUUAUAAAUAGUGAUUUAGUGUUAAGUGCAUUUGUGAAGGAAGCUGAGCUAAAUUGUGCUGGUAAGAUUAAAUUAUCAAACCAAGUAAGUGAUACUGGUACAGUUAGCAAUAUUUUGAAAGAGUUGUAUGUGAUGUUUCAUAUAAAUGAGGCUCCAUUUGAGGCAAGUUUGUCUUGCAUUGAAGACAUUUUGGAAAACUUGUAAGAAAAACUACCAGAAAGUGAGCAUAAAAUUAAAUUUUUGAAGGAACAAGUUUCAUUUCCAAGAUUUAAUAGUCCAACAGAGAUUAGGUAUGGGAGUGUUUCAAUGAUUUUAUGGUCAUUAGCCCAAUCUAUCAGUCCACAUGCAUAUAGGUUUUUGAGGAGUGCUCGUAAUUUUUCCAUUCCAAGUCCCAGUACUUUGUCAAAACUUUGCAGUAAACUUCCAACUAACCCAAUCAUUCAACAUCAGAGUGAGCAGUUUCUCAGUUACAUACCACAAAAAGUUGGUGCUUUAUCUGUGAAUGAUAAAACUGUCCUGUUGAUGGAUGAGAUUUAUUUAAAGUCACAACUUGACUAUAAAGGUGGCAAUGUUGUAGGUGGUGCUUUUAACACAGAUGUGGUUUUGUGUGCAACUAGUGCUUAUGUUUUUAUGAUCCAGAGUAUGGAUUCAGUGUACAAAGAUGUGGUGCAUAUUCUCCCAGUUCACACAAUUCAAUUAAACUAGAAGCAGUGGGAUUUGAGGUAAUAGUAGUAGCUGACAAUAAUUCUAUUAAUAAGGAAGCUAUUUCAUACUUUUCUUCCCCCCCCCCCUCCCUCCUAGUGUACAGAUAAAAUAGGUUCAUCCUGAGCAGACUUCUGCAGACCGCCCAAUUUACUAUUUUGUAGAUACUGUACACAUUUUAAAAUGUAAACGGAACAACUGGGGUAACGAAAAGGACCAAAUUUUGUGCUUUCCUUCUUUUAGUGAUAGCUUGAAGGGAGGUCUUGCUUCUGUUACAGCACUGAAGGAACUACAUUUACUAGAAAAAGGUGAACUAUUGCAGUAUGGCAGCACUUUAACACUUAAGUCACUAUAUCCAAAUUCUUUUGAAUGGCAAAAUGUGAAAUUAGCAUUGCGUAUUUUUAAUAACACGACAGUUGUUGCAAUGCAACAACUAGGUGCAAGAAAGAAUUUGAAAACUGGGAGAGUAUUGC